rnacentral:rRNA from 1 species
UGCCAGCAGCCGCGGUAAUACGGAGGGUGCAAGCGUUGCUCGGAAUUACUGGGCGUAAAGCGCACGCAGGCGGUCUAUCAGGUCGGAUGUGAAAGCCCAGGGCUCAACCCUGGGACUGCAUUCGAAACCGGUAGACUUGAGUUCGAGAGAGGGUGGUGGAAUUCCUGGUGUAGAGGUGAAAUUCGUUGAUAUCAGGAGGAACACCGGUGGCGAAGGCGACCACCUGGCUCGAUACUGACGCUCAUGUGCGAAAGCGUGGGGAGCAAACAGGAUUAGAUA